rnacentral:rRNA from 2 species
GUCGAGCGGAUCGGAGGGAGCUUGCUCCCGAUGAUCAGCGGCGGACGGGUGAGUAACACGUGGGCAACCUGCCUGUAAGACUGGGAUAACUCCGGGAAACCGGGGCUAAUACCGGAUAAUUCAUCCCCUCUCAUGAGGGGAUGCUGAAAGACGGUUUCGGCUGUCACUUACAGAUGGGCCCGCGGCGCAUUAGCUAGUUGGUGAGGUAACGGCUCACCAAGGCCACGAUGCGUAGCCGACCUGAGAGGGUGAUCGGCCACACUGGGACUGAGACACGGCCCAGACUCCUACGGGAGGCAGCAGUAGGGAAUCUUCCGCAAUGGACGAAAGUCUGACGGAGCAACGCCGCGUGAGCGAAGAAGGCCUUCGGGUCGUAAAGCUCUGUUGUCAGGGAAGAACAAGUAUCGGAGUAACUGCCGGUACCUUGACGGUACCUGACCAGAAAGCCACGGCUAACUACGUGCCAGCAGCCGCGGUAAUACGUAGGUGGCAAGCGUUGUCCGGAAUUAUUGGGCGUAAAGCGCGCGCAGGCGGUCCUUUAAGUCUGAUGUGAAAGCCCACGGCUCAACCGUGGAGGGUCAUUGGAAACUGGGGGACUUGAGUGCAGAAGAGGAGAGCGGAAUUCCACGUGUAGCGGUGAAAUGCGUAGAGAUGUGGAGGAACACCAGUGGCGAAGGCGGCUCUCUGGUCUGUAACUGACGCUGAGGCGCGAAAGCGUGGGGAGCGAACAGGAUUAGAUACC